UACGUAGGGGGCUAGCGUUGUCCGGAAUCAUUGGGCGUAAAGAGCGUGUAGGCGGUCCGGUAAGUCCGCUGUGAAAGUCGGGGGCUCAACCCUCGAAUGCCGGUGGAUACUGUCGGGCUAGAGUGCGGAAGAGGCGAGUGGAAUUCCUGGUGUAGCGGUGAAAUGCGCAGAUAUCAGGAGGAACACCGGUGGCGAAGGCGGGUCUCUGGGCCGAUACUGACGCUGAGGCACGAAAGCCAGGGUAGCAAACGGG
rnacentral:rRNA from 1 species